rnacentral:rRNA from 1 species
AAAAAAGGUAAGCUACUAAGAGCGAAUGGUGGAUGCCUUGACUGGUAAAGGCGAUGAAGGACGUACUAGACUGCGAUAAGCUACGGGGAGCUGUCAAGAAGCUUUGAUCCGUAGAUUUCCGAAUGGGGCAACCCAAUGUAUAGAGAUAUACAUUACCUAUAUAGGAGCGAACGAGGGGAAUUGAAACAUCUUAGUACCCUCAGGAAAAGAAAUCAAUAGAGAUUGCGUCAGUAGCGGCGAGCGAAAGCGCAAGAGGGCAAACCCAGUGCUUGCACUGGGGGUUGUAGGACUGCAAUGUGCAAGAGGUAAGUUUAGCAGAACAUUCUGGAAAGUAUAACCAUAGAGGGUGAUAGUCCCGUAUGCGAAAAACAAACCUUAGCUAGCAGUAUCCUGAGUAGGGCGGGACACGAGGAAUCCUGUCUGAAUCCGGGUCGACCACGAUCCAACCCUAAAUACUAAUACCAGAUCGAUAGUGCACAAGUACCGUGAGGGAAAGGUGAAAAGAACUGAGGUGAUCAGAGUGAAAUAGAACCUGAAACCAUUUGCUUACAAUCAUUCAGAGCCCUAUGUAGCAAUACAGGGUGAUGGACUGCCUUUUGCAUAAUGAGCCUGCGAGUUGUGGUGUCUGGCAAGGUUAAGCAAACGCGAAGCCGUAGCGAAAGCGAGUCUGAAUAGGGCGCUUAGUCAGAUGCUGCAGACCCGAAACGAAGUGAUCUAUCCAUGAGCAAGUUGAAGCUAGUGUAAGAACUAGUGGAGGACUGAACCCAUAGGCGUUGAAAAGCCCCGGGAUGACUUGUGGAUAGGGGUGAAAGGCCAAUCAAACUUCGUGAUAGCUGGUUCUCUCCGAAAUAUAUUUAGGUAUAGCGUUGUGUCGUAAUAUAAGGGGGUAGAGCACUGAAUGGGCUAGGGCAUACACCAAUGUACCAAACCCUAUCAAACUCCGAAUACCUUAUAUGUAAUCACAGCAGUCAGGCGGCGAGUGAUAAAAUCCGUCGUCAAGAGGGAAACAACCCAGACUACCAGCUAAGGUCCCUAAGUCUUACUUAAGUGGAAAACGAUGUGAAGUUACUUAAACAACCAGGAGGUUGGCUUAGAAGCAGCCAUCCUUUAAAGAAAGCGUAAUAGCUCACUGGUCUAGUGAUUUUGCGCGGAAAAUAUAACGGGGCUAAAGUAAGUACCGAAGCUGUAGACUUGCACACAACUUAGAUUAUUUAAGUUUAGAAUAUGAGAAACUAAGUUAUAUGUUUAGUUAUAUUUUUACUGAUUUUUAUAGAGUAAAGAUAGAAAUAAAACUUAGUAAAAUCAGUAAAAAUAUUCUUAGACUAAAGUUAAGUAGUUUAAGUUGUGUGCAAGUGGUAGGAGAGCGUUCUAUUUGCGUCGAAGGUAUACCGGUAAGGAGUGCUGGAGCGAAUAGAAGUGAGCAUGCAGGCAUGAGUAGCGAUAAUUAAUGUGAGAAUCAUUAACGCCGUAAACCCAAGGUUUCCUACGCGAUGCUCGUCAUCGUAGGGUUAGUCGGGUCCUAAGUCGAGUCCGAAAGGGGUAGACGAUGGCAAAUUGGUUAAUAUUCCAAUACCAACAUUAGUGUGCGAUGGAAGGACGCUUAGGGCUAAGGGGGCUAGCGGAUGGAAGUGCUAGUCUAAGGUCGUAGGAGGUUAUACAGGCAAAUCCGUAUAACAAUACUCCGAGAACUGAAAGGCUUUUUGAAGUCUUCGGAUGGAUAGAAGAACCCCUGAUGCCGUCGAGCCAAGAAAAGUUUCUAAGUUUAGCUAAUGUUGCCCGUACCGUAAACCGACACAGGUGGGUGGGAUGAGUAUUCUAAGGCGCGUGGAAGAACUCUCUUUAAGGAACUCUGCAAAAUAGCACCGUAUCUUCGGUAUAAGGUGUGGUUAGCUUUGUAUUAGGAUUUACUCCGAAAGCAAGGAAACUUACAACAAAGAGUCCCUCCCGACUGUUUACCAAAAACACAGCACUCUGCUAACUCGUAAGAGGAUGUAUAGGGUGUGACGCCUGCCCGGUGCUCGAAGGUUAAUUGAUGGGGUUAGCAUUAGCGAAGCUCUUGAUCGAAGCCCGAGUAAACGGCGGCCGUAACUAUAACGGUCCUAAGGUAGCGAAAUUCCUUGUCGGUUAAAUACCGACCUGCAUGAAUGGCGUAACGAGAUGGGAGCUGUCUCAAAGAGGGAUCCAGUGAAAUUGUAGUGGAGGUGAAAAUUCCUCCUACCCGCGGCAAGACGGAAAGACCCCGUGGACCUUUACUACAGCUUGACACUGCUACUUGGAUAAGAAUGUGCAGGAUAGGUGGGAGGCUUUGAGUAUAUGACGCCAGUUGUAUAUGAGCCAUUGUUGAGAUACCACUCUUUCUUAUUUGGGUAGCUAACCAGCUUGAGUUAUCCUCAAGUGGGACAAUGUCUGGUGGGUAGUUUGACUGGGGCGGUCGCCUCCCAAAUAAUAACGGAGGCUUACAAAGGUUGGCUCAGAACGGUUGGAAAUCGUUCGUAGAGUAUAAAGGUAUAAGCCAGCUUAACUGCAAGACAUACAAGUCAAGCAGAGACGAAAGUCGGUCUUAGUGAUCCGGUGGUUCUGUGUGGAAGGGCCAUCGCUCAAAGGAUAAAAGGUACCCCGGGGAUAACAGGCUGAUCUCCCCCAAGAGCUCACAUCGACGGGGAGGUUUGGCACCUCGAUGUCGGCUCAUCGCAUCCUGGGGCUGGAGCAGGUCCCAAGGGUAUGGCUGUUCGCCAUUUAAAGCGGUACGCGAGCUGGGUUCAGAACGUCGUGAGACAGUUCGGUCCCUAUCUGCCGUGGGCGUAAGAAGAUUGAAGAGAUUUGACCCUAGUACGAGAGGACCGGGUUGAACAAACCACUGGUGUAGCUGUUGUUCUGCCAAGAGCAUCGCAGCGUAGCUAAGUUUGGAAAGGAUAAACGCUGAAAGCAUCUAAGCGUGAAGCCAACUCUAAGAUGAAUCUUCUCUAAGCUCUCUAGAAGACUACUAGUUUGAUAGGCUGGGUGUGUAAUGGAUGAAAGUCCUUUAGCUGACCAGUACUAAUAGAGCGUUUGGCUUAUCUUUAAUAAAGCAU